rnacentral:rRNA from 1 species
GUCCACGCCGUAAACGAUGGGCACUAGGUGCUUGGGGGAGCGACCCCCUGGGUGCCGGCGCUAACGCAUGAAGUGCCCCGCCUGGGGAGUACGGCCGCAAGGCUGAAACUCAAAGGAAUUGACGGGGGCCCCGCACAAGCGGUGGAGCAUGUGGUUUAAUUCGACGCAACGCGAAGAACCUUACCUAGGCUUGACAUGCACGGGAAACCCUUGAGAAACCAGGGGCCUCCUUCGGGACUCGUGCACAGGUGCUGCAUGGCUGUCGU